rnacentral:lncRNA from 1 species
UACUUCGUUCCAAUACAAGUCUUAGAGUCAUACUCCAAGAUUGUCAUUUGAGUGACAUGUCUUAAAGAAGGUUUAAAACACUUGUCAAAUGUAAGAGUAAAAGUUUUCUACUCUUGUACAUUUGAAAUUGGUAAGUUGUGAUGUUUUGGAUAAAACAAAGACCAACUUAGGCCAAUUGGGUAAAGUGUUUUUCUUGAUUAGAAUCCGCACUAUCUCUUGGAUGUUUGACAAGGGAGUCUUAUAUGUCAAGAGGACAGUGGGAGUCUUAAAGGUCUUGAAAGUCUCAAGAACUAAUCAAGAAUAAAACCUGAAGUUCUUCACUAGCACACGACUUGAGGUUCAUAACCUAUCGUGUUGACAUAUUCUGUGCCCAUUCCAGUUAAAGUUGGCUUUGCAUAUGAGUUCUUAGAGUUCUCAAUUUGUUGCACAACAACUUGGAAGCAAUGGUAGGCCCUUGAGCUGCCAGGUGGCAAGAAAUUAAGAUUGAGUUCAGUCCAUAUGAGUUUGGAUUUGUCAUUAUCCUUGUCUUGUGACUAUGGUUUUGACAAUUCACAUGGAUAAGAACACAUACACCAUUAAAUCUAAGUGUCAUAAGGUUUCUCUCCGAUUCAUGAAAAUGAUGGUGAGGAAACACUUUCACUAAGUAGAUUUUAGCUAGAUAGCAAUUGUGAUAUUUGCAUUCUCAAAGUCGUUAGUGGAGCGCGUGUGGUUAACCGGCACACUAACUUGGACUUGUGAGAAGUGGCAAAAAGGUCUAAACAUUAUGAUUACGGCAUCCCUCUUCAUAAUUGUUUAGAUACACAAGUGUGCUAUCUAAGGGAAGGUGUAUGAUUUUGAUAAAGUUUUAUCAAAACAAUCUAGCAUCAGAAAUCUGAACUUUGGUAAGAAAGUCAAUGAAGUAUUGAUUUCUAGAAGUCCAGCUGAUUUCUGAGUACAUGUCAAAGCUAGUGGGAGCAUAAGUGUUAUGCUAAUAAUCAUCAUGUUAGUGGGAGCAUGAUAAUUAUGAUAAGUAUUGCAAGUUAGCAAUGUUAAUUAUAGAAAACAAAAGUUUCAAUUGGGAAAAAGUUGUUUUGCUAUAAUUAAGGGAGAGGAAAUUAUGCUUCAUCUCAAAUCUAUAAGCUUAGAUCGUGAGGUUUUAAUCAUUUAGUCAAGAAUAUAUAUGAAUUUCAUGUUGGAAUGGCUCAACAUAAGGAAAUUCUGUAUAUGGGUCCAUUAUUUGCGUUCUAAAAUUCGAUUAUGAUUACGGCAUCCCUUUUCAUAAUCUGAAUUAUGAGAACUUGGCAAAUAGAAAUGGAAAUAUUAUAGCAAAAGACUGGUUUAGUCUUUAUGUGAGACAUCAUGAAUCGUGUCCCAUAUGCUUCGGAUAUAGGAUCGAUUACAUGUGCUAUAUUCAUCCGUUCUAAAAUUUUCCAAAUGCCUGGGGCAUUAAGAAGGGAAAAGGUUUAGAACUGGAUAUGACUAAAAGGAUUAAACAAUUGUCGAGGACAAUCUAAGGUUUACCAAAGAUUGGUUGCUCAAGGACAGUUGGAAGUAUAGUGAUAAUUCUGGAAGGACCAUAUUGACAUAAUCUGUAAGGAGGCAACUCUUGUUCAGAAGUGAUAGUCAAAAUGGAAUCUGGAAAUGUUUCAAAGUUAGAAUUUUCAAUCUGUUUAAGAUUAGGAAACUUAAUGCAAGAAGGAUGUUUCCAAGGAGCUGAUCUCCUUUGGAAUACUCUGUAAUGAUUAUUGUCAAGUCUUUCCGACUUUGUGCAUAAUCAUUACAAGAGGAUCAAUGCAUAUAAGUUUAGAAUCUAACAGAUUUCAGUAAAUGACAUGAAUUUGGAAUUCUUGCAUUUACAAUAAGAAUUUGGGAAUGUGAAAGAGGAUCGUUAGAGUUAUGUUCAAUUGAUCUAUUUCACAAAGUGUACAUUCUUGGAGCAUGGGACAACUAUUGUUUUAAUUCAAGAAUAAAGUUGAUAGAUGAAACAUUAUACAAUGAAUAAUGUGUAAUCAUAUGGUGAUAAAUAAAGGGUGUUUUAUUUAUGUUCAUAGGUUUUGAUACCAUAUUGGAUUCAAUUAUUAUUGUGUUUCACUUUGCAUGUUUUGACUUCCAGAAUAAACUAGGUUAUUCUUCCGGAAUGACUAAGUUAUUCAAACCAUCCACAGUCGGUCAUAUGUUGGAAGUAGAUAUGAAUCAAGACUGUCAUGGGUUGGCUUGUAGAGGUCUAAGAUGUUGGACAAAGGGCUACAACACUCAUGAGUGCUCAUAAGUUCUGAGUAUUGGAUUAAACCCGCGCUCAUUGGAAUCACUUCAUGGAUUUUAUCACGAGUGAUCAUGAGACGAUAAUAUCUUAUAUUCUUCAAACCUAGAGAUAUGAGUUGUUACUAUGAGUUGAUAGUACAUUGAUUGCACGAAAACGCAUUUGGUAACUCGGUGCUAUAAAACGUGCCUUUGUGUAUGAUUCAACAAGUAGUAGAACAAGCUAUAUGAGUCGAAGUUUUUCUAUUCCUUUUACCUUUGGGAUAAAAGCUAUAUCUGUGGGCCCCUCGAUGAUUUGAUGAUGACAAAUGGAAGUGCUCGGCCGGGCCAGGACUGAUUUGAUUUGUUCAAUUAGUCAGUUGUCAUAAAUCGGAAAUCGGGAAACAACAAAUGGACAGAGAGAAUGAUUAUAAUCCAUGUCUCAGUCCAUAUGAUAUCUAGAAUGGAGGAAUAUAUGAUCCCUUAUCUAAUGGACAAGUCAUUGACAAAGGUCAGAGUUCAUCUACAAGGUCAGAGUUCGACAGAAGCUUUUGAGAGCUACGAUUGCCAGUCGGUUCCUGAAGUCAUACGCAAUAAUAGUUUUAGACUUAUCCAAGUGGGAGACUGUUGGAUUAAUGUCUAAGUCCAUAACUAUAAUUGGUAAGACUUGACCCGACCCGACAUGGUCCAUUUGGGUUGCAUGGCAUCAUGCACUUGGAUAGACUAAAGUGAGAGAAAUAAGACACUUAUGGUUAUUAAUAUAUUAUAAGUUCUAGUAUAUUAAUAAUAAGAAUAAUAAUAUUUAAUUAGUAUUGAUCAAGAAUUAAUCUAGGAUUAAUUAAGUGAUCAAAAGAAGACUAAUUAAAUAUAUGGGUUGAUUGUGCAAAUCAUCCAUACUUAUAUAGUGGGCUAAUGCUCCAUGGAUUAUCUAGUUGGGCUAAAACCCAUAUCAUGCUUCAUGGAUGCUCCAUGGUGUUUUUGUACCCAUGGAUCAUGGAAAUGAAAGGCCAUGUCAAUUAGGGUUUACAUGGUGUAACCUUAACUAUAUAUGCAUCUUAUUCUUGAUCAAAAUCGGGACUAGUAUCAUGCUAGAGAAGGGAUAGCCGAUUUCAAGGGGUUCUAAGUUUCUCUCAAGUUAUUCCAAGUGUAUUUGGUGUUGUGUGAACCAUUUGAAGUGUCACACUCGAGGCACUAGGCACUCAAGCUUCAUGAAGACAUUCUACAUCAAAGUGGUAUGUAUUCCAUCUUGUUAUAUUCAUUAUUUUGUAUGCUAGAUUAGGAUAAUACCUUGGAAGUUCAUAUUUGCAUGUAUAAUAGAGAAAACAUAGAUCCAAGGUAUUUAGGGUUGCAUGUACACUUAGGUGUGUUAGAAUGCUGAAAACCCAACAAUAAGAAGCUCACCACCGCACUCAACGAGUUAAAUAACUUUAAAGCUCAUGCGGAUGAAAGCCUUGAGGACUCUUUCAAGAGAUUUAACCUUAUUGUUACCAAGUUGUCAAACGCUGGCACUAUUCGCAGCAACCAUGAAACCAAUCUUUAAUUUGUCAACGGUUUAGGAAAACAUUGGACUACAGCAAAGAUGAUAGUCUAGGAUGACAGGAAGAUUCACUCUCUCUCACUCUCUCUUUUCAAGCUGUAUGGAGAACUCCAAGCACAAGAAUCAACCAUGCUCAAAGAUUGUGCUGACUUCGGAGGGCCACUUGCUCUCAUGGCCCAGACCCCGCAAAACAUAAUUCCUCAAUCCUACCCUCUCUCCUAUGAAAACCCACCUCAGUCUUACGAAGCUGAUACCGAGUAUGAUGAUGACAAAGUAUUCCAGAAUGUUAUUGCUCUUGUAAGCCAACAGUUCAAUCGAUUACCUCUAACCUCCUUUCACAAAAAUUAGCAGCUCACUAAACCUCCCUUUAACCGAAACUUUAACCCUCAAAACAAUCACCCUCGAUACCCGAAACACCCUCAUCAAUCUCUGCAACCUAUUAACUCACAUCAAGCCAAGGAGGUACCGCAACCUGCUAAGCCAAUAGGCUCCAGUCCCUCAACUGAAGUUAAAGAAGAUGUUGUCAUUUGUCAUAAGUGCAAAAAAGAGAAUCAUUUUGCUAUGACUGUAAAGAAAAUGUUGUAAAGGAUGAAGCCUUCUAUCUCCGAAUGGAACAAGAGAUGGAUGAUAAAGAAAAGUGUAGGGCAUAUGUGGCCCGGGUGAAAUGAGAUCAUCAAGUAUGGUCUUCAAGUGAUGAGGAUGAAGACUUCAACAUCAAGGGAAAGGGAAAGAUUUGCAUGCUUUCUACUAUGGAUGAAGAUGGAUCGACCAAGCUCGAAAAGAACUAAUGCUAUAUGGCCAAGGAAUGAACUCUGAGCAUAGUCGAACAGGUAAAACUCAUGAUUCAAACUCUUCAUUAUAACAUGCAUGAUUGCCAACCAUUCCUUGACAACCUUAAUGGAACAUGUGUUGCCGUCCUUUCAGACUAUAACAAAGCUCUAAAUGAGAAGAACAUAGCAUCCCAAGAAAUGUUCCAUGUUAGAGGACGUAUAGAAGACAAAAGACUCAAAGUGUCCAUGUUAGAAAAAUACUUAGGGUUAGAGAAGGAUGUAAAAAUGUUAUGUGAAACCCAGUUAGGCAUAGCAUUAGAUCAGAGGGAUUUAGCACAAAAAGAAAUUGUACGUUUGAACUUGUUAAUUGAAUUUUUUUUAAUGAAAGCGAGGCCAUUGAAAAUCUUGUAAAUAAUGAAAUCGUUGAAAUUAUGUACAAUUGCGGAUGGUCCAAUGGGUAUUCCACCGCAAAGGACUCAUCACCCCGGUUUAAUAAGGACCGUCUUUAUGUCCCUCCUGACCGACAGUUUCACUUUCCUAUAAAUGACAAAAAACUUCCCGAAGAUAUUAGUGAUGGUUUUGAGCAUUCUAACACUUCUUAAGUGUACAUGCAACCCUAAUAAUCUUGGAUCUACGUUUGUCUAAAUACAUGCAAAAUUUGGUUUCCAAGGUUCAUAAUCCUAUCUAGCAUACAUGGGAACUUUUAUCCCAAAAGGAUGGAUAGAAUUACAUACCUUGUAGUUGAUUUUGAUUCCUUGAAACCUUGUGAGCCUAGCACCCCAAGUGUGAUGCCUAAAAUGCUUCACACAACACCAAAUGCUUUUGGAAUGACUUUAGAGAGAAUGCACACACUCUAAAAAUCGGUCUAGCCCUCACUUCUCUUUGUGUAACCGAUUUUGUGGAGAACACCUUUGUUUAUAUAGUGUGUUGCAUUAGGUAAACCCUAAUGUAACAUGACUCUUCAUUUCAUGAUCCAUGGGUUAACUCCAUGGAGCAUCCUAUGGGUGGAACCCAACUUGAUAAUCCAUGGAGCCUCUUAGCCCACUAUAUAAGAUAUGGAAGAUUUACAUAAUCUACCCAUAUAUUUAAUUAGUUAUCUUUUGAUCACUUAAUUAAUUCUAAAUUAAUUCUUGAUCAAACUAAUUAAAUAAUAUUAUUAAUAUAUUAGAACUUAUAAUAUAUUAAUAAACCAUAAGUGUUAUUUCUCUCAUUUUAGUUUAUCCAAUUGCAUGGUGCCAUGCAACCCAAAUGGACAAUGCCGGGUCGGGUCAAGUACAUACCAGAAAUAGUUAUGGACUUAGACACCUUAUCCAACAGUCUCCAACUUGGAUAAGUCUAAUAACUAUAACUCCAAUACUUCAAGAACCGAUCGGAAAUCGUAGCUCUUUCAAGGUCUCUCGGAAUUGAGAAGAUGAUGAAACACCAUUUAAGAUAAGUGAUCAUAUAAUCGUCUAUUCUAGAUAUCAGCCAGGCAAAUACAUCGAAUAAUAUCUUACUUAUUGUCCAGCAGUUUGUUUCCCGAUUUCCAAUUUGUUUGACAAAGAACUUAAUUGAACACAUCAACUUAGUUCUGACUGGGCCCGGUACGUGGGUCAAAACUAAAUCAUCGAGGGGCCCAAAUAUCAGCUUCUAAUCCAAGAAGGAACAGAUAAACUUCGACUCAUAUGUUUGUUCUACUACUCAUUGAAUUAUACACAAGAGCACGUUUUAUAACAUCGAGUUACCAAUGCAUUUUCGUACAAUCAAUGCAUAACCAACUCAUAAGUAACAAAUCAUAUCUCUAGGUUUGAAGACUUAUAUGAUAUUACCGUCUCACGAUCACUCGAGAUAGAAUUCCAUGAAGUGAUUCCAGUGAGCGUGGGUUGAGUCCAAUGCUCAGAACUUAUGAGCACUCAUGAUUGUUGUAGCCUUGUCCAACACCUUAGACCUCUACAACCAAACAUGACAGUCUUGAUUCAUACCUACUUCCGACAUAUGACCGACUGUGGAGGUUUGAAUAAUAUGUUAUACCAAACAAAAUUAUUCUGGAAGUCAAAACAUGCAAAAGAAAUAUAGUAAACGAUCGACAAGAGAUAGCAACACUUUACUCAUAAAUAAAACACCUUUUAUUCAUCAUCUAAUGUCAAUUACACUUUACAAAUUUCGAGGUUAUCUAACUACUAAAUCUAAUAUCAUCCUUCAGCCCUAUGCUCCGAGCAUGCUGGAGAUGCUUAACCCGAGUCAGUCCCUUCGUGAGGGGAUCUGCUAGAUUCUCAUCCGAUGAUACCCUAUUUGCCACGAGGAGUCCUUCUUCUACUCGAUGUCUGAUGAAAUGGUAUUUUCUGUCGAUGUGUUUGGAUCUCCCGUGAUCCCUUGGUUCCUUGGCUAAGGCAACUGCACUUUCACUAUCACAGAAAAUUUCCAUUGGCUCCUUAAUAGCUGGUACAACUCCAAGGUCUCCAAUGAAGUUCUUCAGCCAUAUCGCCUCCUUUGUUGCCUCGCUAGCUGCUAUAUACUCUGAUUCGCAAUUUGAAUUAGCCACUGUUUCUUGCUUGGAACUCUUCCAAGAAAUUGCUCCCCCGUUUAAGGUAAAGACCCAGCCUGACUGAGAGCGGAAAUUAUCCCUAUCAGUCUGAAAGCUAGAAUCACUAUACCUUACAACUCUCAAGUCAUCACUCCCACCGAGGGUAAGAACCUAAUCCUUAGUCCUCCGUAGGUACUUGAGGAUAUUCUUUACCACAGUCCAGUGUGCCUUGCCAUGGUUCUCCUAAUACCUGCUAACCAUGCUCAAAUCAAAGGCUACAUCAGGUUUAGUACACGUCAUAGCAUACAUGAUUGAUCCUACAGCCGAAGCAUAAGCUAUUCGACUCAUUUCGGAUAUCUUAGCCUCAGUAUUAGGGCUUUGUGUCUUACUCAAUCUGGUGUUACUCUGGAUGGGUAACUCUCCUUUCAUGGAGUCCUGCAUGCUGAAUCUCUUCAUCACCUUAUCCAAGUAGGUACUCUGACUAAGUCCAAUUAGUCUUUUACUCCGGUGUCUCAAGAUCCUUAUCCCUAGAAUAUAAGCAACUUCUCCUAGGUCCUUUAUAGAGAAACACUUCCCAAGACAGGACUUAACUUCCUGCAGAGUUGGGAUGUCAUUUCCUAUGAGUAGUAUGUCAUCCACAUACAAUACCAAAAAGCUAGCUAUACUCCCACUAGCCUUGACAUAUACACACGAUUCAUCUUCACUCCUAGAAAAGCCAAAUUAUUUGACCUUCUCAUCAAAGCAAAGAUUCCAUCUGUGAGGUGCUUCAUUUAAUCCAUAAAUGGAUUUCUCAAGCUUACACACUCUAUUAGGAUACUCUGUAUUGACAAAACCCUCUGGCUGACUCAUGUAAACAUCCUCAACGAAUUUUCCAUUAAGGAAAGUGGUUUUGACAUCUAUUUGCCAUUUUCAUAGUCAUGAAAUGUAGCUAUGGCUAACAGAACCCUAAUAGACUUAAUCUUGGCCACUGGAGAAAAGGUCUCAUCAUAAUCAACUCCCGGAGUUUGUGAGAAACCCUUUGCAACCAGUCGUGCCUUUAUAAGUGUAUACAUUACCAUCCAUGUCGGUCUUCUUCUUGAAGAUCCAUUUGCACCCUACAGUCUUACGACCGGGUACAUUCUUUACCAAGUUGCAAACUUGAUUGUCAUACAUGGACUAUAUCUUGCUGUCCAUUUCCUCUUUUCACUUGGCUGACUCAGGGCCUGCCAUGGCCUCCGCAUAACGGUUAGGUUCAUCUAGACCUAUCAGUGUCUCAUCGCUGAUAAGUGUAUCACCUUCCGCAGUAAUAUGAAAACCAUAAUAAUGCUCAGGAGCAUUCCUAAAUCUCGUGGAACACCUCAGAGGUAUAGACUUGUCAAUUGGCUCAACAAGAGUUUCCUCCUCAAGUUGAGUGCUAGGGUUUGAAGUUCCUUCACCACUUGACUCUUGAAUUUAUUCAAGGUCAACUUGCCUCCCACUGUUUCCUUGUCUUAUGAACUCUCUUUCUCAAAAGACAGCCCUCCUAGCUACAAAGACCACAUUUUCACUAGGCCUAUAAAAGAGGUAACCAAAGGAUUGCUAUGGGUAGUCGAUGAAAAUACACCUCUCACUUCGACGUUCGAGCUUAUCAUGAGUCUCACGUAUCACUAAAUCCUCGCAACCCCAAAUAUUGAUGUGGUCUUGUUUGGGUACUUUACCAGUCCACAUCUCAGGAGGAGUUUUGGCAACUUUCUUUGUAGGGACCAAAUUAAGGAUAUGGGCGGCAGUCUCUAAGGCAUAUCCCCAAAAUGAGAUUGCUAGCGAAUCUCGACUCAUCAUGGAACGAACCAUAUCCAACAAGCUUCGAUUACGCAUCUCAGCCACACCAUUCAAUUGCGGUGUCCUGGGAGGUAUCAAUAAUGAAACAAUCCCACAUUCCUUAAGCUAGUCGAGGAACUCUAAACUAAGAUACUCACCACCUCGAUCGGAUCGAAGCAUCUUAAUGUUCCUGCCUAAUUGAUUCUCGACUUCCUGUUUAAAUUCUUUAAACCUUUCAAAAGUCUCUGACUUAAGUUUUAUUAAGUAGACAUAUCCUUAUCCACUGUAAUCAUCAGUAAAAUUCAAAUAAUAAUGAUUAGCAUCCAUUGUGGCAUGUUUGAAGGGUCCACAGACAUCCGUGUGUACAAGAUCCAACAAACCUUCACCCCUCUCACAAGAACUUGUGAAGGGUGACUUUGUCAUUUUUCCAAGUAAGCAUGAUUCGCAACUAUCAUCUGACUUUAGGUCAAAUGACUCCAAGACUCCAUCCUUUUGGAGUUGGCCUAUGCGUUCCUUGCUUAUAUGUCCAAGACGACAAUGCCAUAAUGAUGCUUUAUCCAAGUUAUUAUCAUUAACAGAAUCAAUACACAAUACAUUAUUUCCUAAGUUAUCAACCAUAUAUACAGUUUCAUACACACCAUCACAAGAUAAUGCUUUAAAAUAAAGAACAUUAUUAAACAAAGCAUUAAUGGAACCAACUUCAUUAUCAAACGAAAAGGUAAAACCUUGUUUAUACAAUGCAUGAAAGGAAAUAAUAUUUCUUGCCAUUUUUGGCGAAUAACAACAUUUAUUCAAAUCUAAACUAAACCCACUACUUAGCGAUAAAGUAUAAACUCCAAUCUUGGUGAUAGGUAAAGCUUUCCUAUUCCCCAUGAUUAAGUUUAUUCUUCCAUUCUCCACAUUCUCAUUUCUUUUUAGUCCCUGCAAAUCAGAAUAGAUAUGAAUGCCACAACCGGUAUCAAGGACCCAAGAGUUAGAAUGGGGUGAGUUAUUAGAUAAGAUAGUGUAAAUACCUGCAUGGUUGGGUUUAACUUUCCCAUCCUUCACAUCUUGCUGGUACUUUGGGCAGUUCUGCUUCUAAUUUGACUUUUCAUGGCAACAGAAGCAUUCAACCUCUUUUGGGUCAGAAGAAGGAGUGACGAAACCUUUCUUGGUUCCUCUUGAAUAAGAGCCAUCAAGGGUCCUAGCCUUGGUACCCUUCGAAGAACUCUUCCUCUUCUUCCCUCGACCUUUCCCGAUUGCCAAAACCGGGGCGGAGUUUGGAGUAGGAGUGUUAACAACCGACUUACCCUUAAGACCUGUUUCUGCGGUCUUGAGGAGUCCCUGAAGUUUGCUGAGUGUGACCUCUUCCUUAUUCAUGUGAUAUGUCAUGCGGAAUUGAUCAUAGCACGAUGGUAAGGAGUGCAAAAUGAUAUCUAUUGCAAGCUCCUCAGGGAAGUUCACAUUAAGCUUCAGCAAACGAUCCACAUACCUUUGCAUUUUCUGCAUGUGGCUCGUGACGGAUUCCCCGUCCUUCAUCAUGGUUGUUAUCAUGGAGCAGAUGAUUUCAUACCUCUCUUGUCGUGCACUUUGAUGGUAUCUUUCCAUCAGAUCUUGGUGCAUUUCAAAAGGGUAGAAGUCCUCAUAGGACUUUUGGAGUUCCGCUGUCAUGGUGGCCAACAUGAUGCAUGCCACUUUUGUAGCAUCCCUUUCAUGUGCCCGGAAGUCAGCGAUCUCCUGGGGAGUUGCAGUGGUCUCAUCAAUCUCCUUAAGCUCCUUGUCAAGGACAUAUUCUUUGUCCUCGUAGCGGGUAAUCAUCCUGAUGUUUCUGAUCCAUUCAUUGAAGUUGGAUCCAUCAAAAGUGACUUUCCCACACAAGUUCAUAAGGGUAAAGGAGCCAUUAGGAUUAGAGCCAGAAGCAGCAUUGUUUGAAGACAUCUGAAAGAAGAGGACAAGAUUAGUUUAGAUAUUAAGAGAGUCCUUAAUAAAACACCCAAAUGUAAUAUUAAGGCUAGGAUCCAAUCACAAUAUAUUAUAACUUAGAAGAGGUAUGCCGUAAUCCAAGCUAUAACAUAUUUGAAAGGUAGGUGAAUGACGAUUCACCAAUUUCCACCACGAAAACCGAAAUAUUAAAUAUUAGGUUUUUGAUUGGUUCUUAGAAAUUCCUAGAUUCUUUGAGAUUCAAUGAACUUUUCAAAGGCAUGUUUCAAUCUCGAGUGUGCCCUCCAAGUUUUGUGACUGGGAUACCGAGGAUCACAAAACGAGGUGUGAAGUAACCAUGCAAAUCACUUGGUACCCUUAAAGUUUAUCACUCAAUCGAUGUGCCGGUUAACCACACACGCUCCAUCGAUACUAUAAUAAACCCUAAGUCACCCUUUACCUACCUUGUUAAGUCCAAGUUAGUGUGCCGGUUAACCACACACGCUCCACCAACGACUUAAUCAAAGUGUAAAGUGUAAUUUCAUGGAAUAGCACCUUAUUCACAUUUUUCCUAAAGUAACUAAGAUUGGGAAUUUAAUAAAACAUUUAGUUACUUUAUAAUAUUCAUCAUACUUUGAAUGAGAAUUAAUAAGUCCUUGUCUUACCCGUUCGGCUAACGACCCUCCACCGAUCAAGCAAGCGGUGGGUGAGAGUGGACACCCAUUAAGUCACCAUUUUAUAGGCAACAACCUUAUACCCACCUUAUAGACCGGCUUCGUGAAUGAGGCGUACUAGCGGUAAGACGACUUUGUUCUUAUACAUAUAUAUAUAAUUAUUAAAUCAUAAUAAUAUAAGUAUAAGGGUUGAAUUUUAACUUUUAAAAUUCUAGGGGUUGGAACUAAAGUUUUAACUUAACUUUACUUGUUCCAAAACUUGAGGGCAAGUUUUGUAAACUUUCAAAACUUUUCAUUUCUUGUAACUUAUGAGUUUAAUAGAGUAAUAAAAUGAGGACUUUUCAUUUUUCCUAACUCUUGUGUUCUUUUAAUGGUUUUUAAUCCAAGAGACUUUUGGUUUUCCAUAACUUGAGGACAAGUUAUGGACUCCAUUAAAACACAUUAUGAUCAUGAAUUAAUCUACCACAUAGGUUACAAAUAAUUCCUAUGAUCAUCUAAACAUCAUAAGAACAAGAAUAUGAAUAUGAACACUUUCAAGAAUCAAAAUCACAUUUAAUCUUUGUAAUUUUGAUAACUAGUUGUUGUAAAUGAGUUAGAAAAGACAUUACACCUUCUAAAAUAAGUUUUCAAGUACCAAAACAUUUUAGGGUAAUGAUUCUAAUCCAUUUCCAGCAACUCAAGUCGAAAUUCUGCACUCUGUCGACCCUACUCGCCGAGUGCAUAAACCUACUCGCCGAGUAGGUUGAAGAUACACAUGAACUCGACGAGUCCUCCCCAUGGACUCGCCGAGUCCAUCAGUCAGACAGCAGAAUUUUCGACUUUCUUCAACUUUUAAGCACAAAUAACAAACAAACAAGCCUAGGCUCUGAUACCACUGAUGGGUUUUGAGCAUUCUAACACUUCCUAAGUGUACAUGCAACCCUAAUAACCUUGGAUCUAUGUUUGUCUAAUUAUCAUGCAAAGUUGAAUUCCAAGGUUAUAUUCCUAUCUAGCAUACAUGGGGAACAAUUUUAACUUGAAUCAUAGAUAGAAUAACUUACCUUGUUGUUGCUUGUGUUCCUUGAAACCUUGUGAGCCUAGCACCCCAAGUGUGAUGCCUCAAAUGCUUCACACAACACCAAAUGCUCUUGGAAAGACUCUUGAGAUAACACACACUUCUCAAAAUCGGCCAAGCCCUCUAGUUUCUUAGUGUUCAACUUGUGUAGCCAAUUUUGUGGAGAAUGGGACUCUUAUAUAGUGUUGGCACAUCUAGGGUUACACCAUGUAAACCCUAAUGUGUCAUGACUCUUCAUUUCCAUGACCCAUGGGUUUGUAACUCCCAUGGAGCAUCCAUGGAGCAUCCUAUGGGUAGAACCCAACUUGAUAAUCCAUGGAGCCUCUUAGCCCACUAUACAAGAUAUGGAUGAUUUACAUAAUCAACCCAUAUAUUUAAUUAGUUAUCCUUUGAUCACUUAAUUAAUUCCAAAUUAAUUCUUUGAUCAACUAAUCAAAUAAUAUUAUUAAUAUAUUAGAACUUAUAAUAUAUUAAUAAUCUCCAAGUGUUAUUUCUCUCAUUUAGUCUAUCCAAUUGCAUGGUGCCAUGCAACCCAAAUGGACCAUGCCGGGUCGGGUCAAGUACAAGCCCGAAAUAGUUAUGGACUUAGACACCUUAUCCAACAGUCUCCCACUUGGAUAAGUCUAAUAACUAUAUCUCUAGUACUUCAGGAACCGACCGGCAAUCGUAGCUCUUUCAAGGUCUCUCGGAACUGAGAAGAUGAUGGUACGCCAUUUAAGAUAAGUGAUCAUAUAAUCCUCCGUUCUAGAUAUCAGCCGGACAAAUACAUGGAACAUUGUCUUGCUUAUUGUCCAGCAUUUGUUUCCCGAUUUCCGAUUUGUUUGACAUAGAACUUAAUUGAACACAUCAACUUAGUUCUGACCGGGCCCGGUACAUGGGUCAAAACAAAAUCAUCGAGGGGCCCAGAUAUCAGCUUCUAAUCCAAGAAGGAACAGAUAAACUUCGACUCAUAUGUUUGUUCUACCACUCAUUGAAUUACACACAAAAGUACGUUUUAUAACAUCGAGUUACCAAUGCGGUUUCGUACAGUCAAUGCAUAACCAACUUGUAAGUAACAAAUCAUAUCUCUAGGUUUGAAGACUUAUAUGAUAUUACCGUCUCACGAUCACUCGAGAUAGAAUUCCAUGAAGUGAUUCCAGUGAGCGUGGGUUGAGUCCAAUGCUCAGAACUUAUGAGCACUCAUGAUUGUUGUAGCCUUGUCCAAGACCUCUACAACCAAACAUGACAGUCUUGAUUCAUAUCUACUUCCAACAUAUGACCGACUGUGGAGGUUUGAAUAAUAUGUUAUACCAAACAAAAUUAUUCUGGAAGUCAAAACAUGCAAAAGAAAUAUAGUAAACGAUCGACAAGAGAUAGCAACACUUUACUCAUAAAUAAAACACCUUUUAUUCAUCAUCAAAUGUCAAUUACACUUUACAAAUUUCUGGGUUAUCUAACUACUAAAACUUAUAUCAUCCUUCAGCCCUAUGCUCCGAGCAUGCUGGAGAUGCUUAACCCUACUCAGUCCCUUCGUGAGGGGAUCUGCUGGGUUCUCAUCCGAUGAUACCCUCUUUGCCACGAGGAGUCCUUCUUCGAUCCGAUGUCUAAUGAAAUGGUAUUUUCUGUCGAUGUGUCUGGAUCUCCCAUGAUCCCUUGGUUCCUUGGCUAAGGCAACAGCACUUUCACUAUCACAGAAAAUUUCCAUUGGCUCUUUAAUAGCUGGUACAACUCCAAGGUCUCCAAUGAAGUUCUUCAGCCAUAUCGCCUCCUUUGCUGCUUCACUAGCUGCAAUAUACUCUGAUUCACAAGUAGAAUCUGCCACUGUCUCUUGCUUGGAACUCUUCCAAGAAAUUGCUCCUCCGUUUAGGGUAAAGACCCAGCCCGACUGAGAGCGGAAAUUAUCCCUAUCAGUCUGGAAGCUAGCAUCACUAUACCCUACAACUCUCAAGUCAUCACUCCCACCGAGGGUAAGGACCCAGUCCUUAGUCCUCCGUAGGUACUUGAGGAUAUUCUUUACCGCAGUCCAGUGUGCCUUGCCAGGGUUCGCCUGAUACCUGCUAACCAUGCUCAAGGCAAAAGCUACAUCGGGUCGAGUACACGUCAUAGCAUACAUGAUCGAUCCUACAGCCGAAGCGUAAGGUGUUCGACUCAUUUCUGCUAUCUCAGCCUCAGUGCUAGGGCUUUGUGUCUUACUCAAUCUGGUGUUACUCUGGAUGGGUAACUCUCCUUUCUUGGAAUCCUGCAUGCUGAAUCUCUUCAGCACCUUAUCCAAGUAGGUACUCUGACUAAGUCCAAUUAGUCUUUUACUCCGAUCUCUCAAGAUUCUUAUCCCUAGAAUAUAGGCAGCUUCACCAAGGUCCUUCAUAGCGAAACACUUCCCAAGCCAGGACUUUACUUCCUGCAGGGUUGGAAUGUCGUUUCCUAUGAGUAGUAUGUCAUCCACAUACAAUACCAAAAAGCUAACUAUACUCCCACUAGCCUUGACAUACACACAAGAUUCAUCUUCACUCCUAGAAAAGCCAAAUUCCUUGACCUUUUCAUCAAAGCAAAGAUUCCAUCUGCGAGGUGCUUGCUUCAAUCCAUAAAUGGAUUUCUCAAGCUUACACACUCUAUUAGGGUACUCGUUGCUGACAAAACCCUCUGGCUGACUCAUGUAAACAUCUUCAGCCAACUUUCCAUUAAGGAAAGCGGUUUUGACAUCCAUCUGCCAUAUUUCAUAGUCAUGAAAUGCAGCUAUGGCUAACAGAACCCGAAUAGACUUAAUCUUGGCUACCGGAGAAAAGGUCUCAUCAUAAUCCACUCCAGGAAUUUGAGAGAAGCCCUUUGCAACCAGUCUAGCCUUAUAAGUGUGUACUUUACCAUCCAUGUCGGUCUUCUUCUUGAAGACCCAUUUGCACCCUACUGUCUUACGACCUGGUACAUUUUCAACCAAGUUCCAAACUUGAUUGUCAUACAUGGAUUGUAUCUCGCUAUCCAUAGCCUCUUUCCAUUUAGCAGACUCGGGGCCUGCCAUGGCUUCCUCGUAGCUGUUAGGGUCAUCUUGACUUACUAGUGUCUCAUCACUAAUAAGUGUCUCACCUUCUGCAGUAAUAUGGAAUCCAUAGUAAUGCUCAGGUGCACUCCUAACUCUCGUGGAACGUCUCAGAGGUACAGAUUUGUCAAUUGGCUCAACAGGAGUUUCCUCCUCAAGUUGAGGGCUAGAGUUUGAAGUUCCUUCACCGCUUGAUUCUUGAAUUUCUUCAAGAUCAAUUUGCCUCCCACUGUCUCCUUGGCUUAUAAACUCUCUUUCUCGAAAGACUCCUCUUCUUGCUACAAAGACCACAUUGUCACUAGGUCUGUAGAAGAGGUAACCAAAGGAUCGCUGUGGGUAACCGAUGAAAAUACACCUCUCGCUUCGAGGUUCGAGCUUAUCAUGAGUCUCGCGUCUCACGAAAGCCUCGCAACCCCAAAUCUUGAUGUGGUCUAGUUUAGGUACUUUACCAGUCCACAUCUCGUGAGGAGUUUUGGCAACUUUCUUUGUAGGGACUAGAUUAAGAAUAUGGGCGGCAGUCUCUAAGGCAUACCCCCAGAAUGAGAUUGGUAGCGUAGCUCGACUCAUCAUGGAACGAACCAUAUCUAACAAGGUUCGAUUACGCCUCUCAGCCACACCAUUCAACUGUGGUGUCCUGGGAGGUGUCAAUUGUGAGACUAUCCCACAUUCCCUUAGAUAGUCGAGGAACUCUGAACUAAGAUACUCACCACCACGAUCGGAUCGAAGCAUCUUAAUGUUCCUGCCCAAUUGAUUCUCGACUUCCUGUUUAAAUUCCUUAAACCUCUCGAAAGUCUCUGACUUAUGCUUGAUCAAGUAGACAUAUCCAUAUCUACUAUAAUCAUCAGUAAAAGUCAAAUAAUAACGAUUAGCAUCCCUUGUGGCAUGUUUGAAUGGUCCACACACAUCCGUGUGUAUAAGGUCCAACAAACCUUCACCCCUCUCACACGAACCUGUGAAGGGUGACUUUGUCAUUUUUCCAAGUAAGCAUGAUUCGCAACUAUCAUCUGACUUUAGGUCAAACGACUCCAAGACUCCAUCCUUUUGGAGUUGGCCUAUGCGUUUCUUGCUUAUAUGUCCAAGACGACAAUGCCAUAAAGAUGCUUUAUCCAAGUUAUUAUUAGUAGAAUCAAUACACAAAACAUUAUUUCCCAAGUUAUCUACAACAGAUACAGCUUCAUACACACCAUCACAAGGUAAUGCUUUAAAAUAAAAGACAUUAUUAUAGAAAACAUCUAUAGAACCAACUUCAUUAUUAAAUGAAAAGGUAAACCCUUGUUUGUACAAAGCAUGAAAGGAAAUAAUAUUUCUUGCCAUUCCUGGCGAAUAACAACACUUAUUCAAAUCUAAACUAAACCCACUACUUAGCGAUAAAGUAUAAACUCCAAUCUUGGUAACAGGUAUAGCUUUCCUAUUCCCCAUGAUCAAGUUUAUCCUUCCUUGCUCCACAUCCUCACUUCUUCUUAGUCCCUGCAAGUCACAACAAAUGUGAAUACCACACCCGGUAUCAAGGACCCAAGAAUUAGAAUGGGGUGAGUUAUUAGAAAUGAUAGUGUAAAUACCUGCAUGGUUGGGUUUAACUUUCCCAUCCUUCACAUCUUGCUGGUAUUUUGGGCAGUUCCGCUUCCAAUGAGCUUUUUCAUGGCAAUAGAAGCAUUCAGCCUCUUUUGGGUCAGAAGAAGGAGUAACGAAACCUUUCUUGGUUCCACUUGAAGAAGAGCCAUCAAGGGUCCGAGCCUUGGUACCCUUAGAAGAGCUCUUUCUCUUCCUCCCUCGACUUUUCCCGAUUGCCAAAACCGGAGUAGAGUUUUGAGUAGGAGUGAUAGCAACCGACUUCCCCUUAAGACCUGUUUCUGCGGUCUUGAGAAGUCCCUGAAGUUUGCUGAGGGUGACUUCUUCCUUGUUCAUGUGAUAUGUCAUGCGGAAUUGAUCAUAGCACGAUGGUAAGGAAUGCAAAAUAAUAUCUAUUGCAAGAUCCUCCGGGAAGUUCACAUUAAGCUUCAGCAAACGAUCCACAUACCUUUGCAUUUUCUGCAUGUGGCUCGUGACGGAUUCCCCGUCCUUCAUCAUGGUUGUUAUCAUGGAGCAGAUGAUUUCAUACCUCUCUUGUCUUGCACUUUGAUGGUAUCUUUCCAUCAAAUCUUGGUGCAUGUCAUAAGGGUAGAAAUCCUCAUAAGACUUUUGGAGUUCCGCUGUCAUCGUGGCCAUCAUGAUGCAAGCCACUUUCGUAGCAUCCCUUUCAUGUGCCCGAAAUUCAGCGAUCUCCUGAGGAGUUGCAGUGGACUCAUCAAUCUCCUUAAGCUCCUUGUCAAGGACAUAUUCUUUGUCCUCGUAGCGGGUAAUCAUCCUGAUGUUUCUGAUCCACUCAUUGAAGUUGGAUCCAUCAAAGGUGACUUUCCCACACAAGUUCAUAAGGGUAAAGGAGCCAUUAGGAUUAGAGCCAGAAGCAUUGUUGAAAGACAUCUGAAGGAAAGAGGACAAGAUUAGUUUAGAUAUAAGAGAGUCCUUAAUAAAACACCCAAAUGUAAUAUUAAGGCUAGGAUCCAAUCACAAUAUAAUAUAACUUAGAAGAGGUAUGCCGUAAUCUAAGCUAUAUCAUAUUUGAAAGGUAGGUGAAUGACGAUUCACCAAUUUCCACCACGAAAACCGCAAUAUUUUAGUAUUAGGUUUUUGAAUGGUUCUUAGAAAUUCCUAGAUUCUUUGAGAUUCAAUGAACUUUUCAAAGGCAUGUUUCAAUCUCGAGUGUGCCCUCCAAGUUUUGUGACUGGGAUACCGAGGAUCACAAAACGAGGUGUGAAGUAACCAUGCAAAUCACUUGGUACCCUUAAAGUUUAUCACUCAAUCGAUGUGCCGGUAAACCACACAUGCUCCAUCGAUACUAUGAUAAACCUUAAGUCAGCCUUUACCUACGUUGUUAAGUCCAAGUUAGUGCGCCGGUUAACCACACACACUCCACCAACGACUUAAACAAAGUGUAAAGUGUAAUUUCAUGGGUUAGCACCUUAUUCACAUUUUCCUAAAGUAACUAAGAUUGAGGAUUUAAUAAAACAUUUUAGUUACUUUAUAAUAUUCAUCAUACUUUUAAUGAGAAUUUAUAAGUUCUUGUCCUACCCGUUCAGCUAACAACCCUCCACCGAUCAAGGAAGCGGUGGGUGAGAGUGAACACCCAUUAAGUUGCCCUUUUAUAGGCAACAACAUUAUACCCCCUUAUAGACCAGCUUCGUGAAUGAGGCGUACUAGUGGUGAGACGACUUCAUCUUAUAAAUAUUUAUAUUAUUAACUUAUAAUAUUAUAAAGUAUAAGGGUUGAAUUUUAACUUUUAAAAUUCUAAGGGUUGGAACUAAAGUUUAUUAAGUGAAUUUACUUUUCCAAAACUUGAGGGCUAGUUUUGUAUCUUUACAAAACCUUUCACAUUCAUAACUUAUGAGUCAUUAAAAUGAAGACUCUUCAUUUUAUAACUUAUGUGUUCUUUUAAUGGCUUUUAACACAAAUAGCCUUUUGGCUAUCCAUACCUUGAGGACAAGUUAUGGACUCCAUUAAAACACAUAAAGAUCAUGAAUUAAUCAGAUAAACAACUAACUCCUAUGAUCUAUCAAGAACUAAUAAGAACAUGAAUAUUCAUAUCAACAUUUCAAGAACAUAUGAACACAUAUAAUCAUGAAAAAUUGAUAUUAGCCAUUGUAAAUGGAUUAGAACAACCAUUACACCAUCUAAAACAAGUUUUAUAAUACCAAAACAAUUUAGGGUAAUGUUUCUAGUCCAUUUCCAACAGCACAAAUUGAAUUUUUGCAUUCUGCAUGACCAACUCAUCGAGUACAUGAACAGACUCGUCGAGUUGGUUGUAUUUACAGUUGGACUCGUCGAGUCCUCCCCAUGGACUCGUCGAGUCUCCUGAGCAGACAUCAAAAAAUCGAUUUUUCAAUAAUAUUUUGCAUCAAGUAUUCACAAACAAGCCUAGGCUCUGAUACCACUGAUGGGUUUUGAGCAUUCUAACACUUCCUAAGUGUACAUGCAACCCUAAUAACCUUGGAUCUAUGUUUGUCGAAAUACAUGCAAAAUUUGGUUUCCAAGGUUCGUAAUCCUAUCUGGCAUACAUGGGAACUUUUAUCCUAAUGGGAUGGCUAGAAUUACAUACCUUGUAGUUGAUUUUGAUUCCUUGAAACCUUGUGAGCCUUACACCCCAAGUGUGAUUCAUCAAGUGCUUCUCACAACACCAAAUGCUUUUGGAAUGACUUUAGAGAGAAUGCACACACUCUAAAAAUCGGCCUAGCCCUCACUUCUCUUUGUGUAACCGAUUUUGGGGAGAACACCUUUGUUUAUAUACUGUGUUGCAUUAGGUAAACCCUAAUGUAACAUGACUCUUCAUUUCAUGAUCCAUGGGUUAACUCCAUGGAGCAUCCUAUGGGUGGAACCCAACUUGAUAAUCCAUGGAGCCUCUUAGCCCACUAUAUAAGAUGUGGAAGAUUUACAUAAUCUACCCAUAUCAUUAAUUAGUUAUCUUUUGAUCACUUAAUUAAUUCUAAAUUAAUUCUUGAUCAAACUAAUUAAAUAAUAUUAUUAAUAUAUUAGAACUUAUAAUAUAUUAAUAAACCAUAAGUGUUAUUUCUCUCAUUUUAGUUUAUCCAAUUGCAUGGUGCCAUGCAACCCAAAUAGACCAUGUCGGGUCGGGUUAAGUACAUACCAGAAAUAGUUAUGUUCUUAGACACCUUAUCCAACAAAUUAGAGCCCACUUCGGUAAACUUCACAACCUGAGUAAUAAUUGUGUCAUCAAGGAAAUUUUUCUCGAAACUUUGAAUCACCCAUGUGAUCAAAUUCCAAUCAUUGGCACAAUUUAUCCCAACUCUUAGGCCUCAUCAGUUGUCAAUGAGGAAAUCCUUCUGGAAGGACCCGAAACAUUUGAACACUAUCCAAACUUGUUUUCUGUCCGCAGUCCUCCUAACUACAGUCUUGACCCAAAAUUACCAUACAUAAAGUGUCCCACUAAAGAACCAUUUUUGACUUACUCUGUGGUAGUCCAAUCUUCUUUACCUCAGACUGAAGUCAAAAGUAUUAUGACCAUUCAACUAGUCCUUCAUGAUUUUCCCAGAGAAAAUUUCGAGUUUGGUCAAUGUUCUCAGAGUCCUGAACCUUCUAGUUCAGAUGACUCAAGUCCACGAUUUCGAAAACAAUCAAAGGUUUCGAGGAAAGCGCAGUCGAACCUCAAUGACUGCGGUUCUCCAAAAACUCAGGCAAAACUGGAUUUAAAGGAAGAACUUAGAUCUCGUAAUAAAAAGAGAGAAGUAUUUUCAAAAAAACAAAAGACAAGCCAUAAUUUCAAAACACAAGAGUCCAGAAAAACUUGUUUUCUCAAAUUACAUUUUCUCAAAUUACUUUUCGAAAAACUCUGCAGUCAAGAAAUCAACCAGAAAGGAAUGUACAGUUUCAAAAACCUUUUCAAACUCUUCUGACAAGACUUAAAAGUGAGUAAAGUCUUUUCAAAGUAAUGGUUUUCAGAUUUAUUCCUUAGACAACCCAAAAUGGAAAGGAAUUUUACCAACUCCAACGCAUUUCUAGUCACCUCAACUUUUCAGAAAAACACAACCUAGGAGAUUUGCACAUACUCACACUCUUUCAAACCAUACUUUUCAAAUCCCAAGGGUAUCUAUGUCAAAUCUCAUUCUUGGACAGGUCACAAGACUCACCCUACACCAUCCGGACCGUUGACCAAGCACAGUGUCUAGAAAAAUGAGAAAAAGCUAUCAUUUGGCCUUUAUAAAGGGUUAUCUCAAGUCCAGUCUUGCACCUGUAAAAAUCCUCAUAAAUCUACUAAAUCCAACAACACUCCAAUGAUUCACAAACACCCAGGUCUAGGUCUCAAGAUUGACUUAAAGCCUGUCCCUGCAACCUCGGUUCAUGCAUUUAUGAAAAACCCAUCAGUCUCCUCGGACUCUAAACUUGUUUGGGUGCCCAAACUAACCGUGUAAUUUUCAGCCAAUGUGUAAAGAGGAAGAACAAGAGGAUUGGUUAAUAGACGUUGCCUGCUCCUUGCACAUGACCGGAAGGUUAGAAUACGUUUGAGAUUUCAGGCCUAUAUGAAAUGGUGGAAAAGUCACAUUCGGAAACAAUCCUAAUGGAAUAAUUUGAGGUUACGACUUCUCUAUUCAAAAGGAUGCUUACGUAGAAGGCCUCAAACAUAAUCUCAUCAGUGUAGGCCAACUAUGCAAAGCAGGCCAUCGGGUUGAGUUUGAUAAUGAAUUCUGCUACAUCAUGACAAGCGAUAGAAGCAUCUGCUUGAUCAAAUCUAAAUCCGAAGGGACCAUGUACCCUUUGGAUGUCUCCUUGAUCAUUGGGAAACCGCAACUAUGUUUUCUGUCCAAAGCCGUAUCAUAAGUUAGCUGGUUGUGGCAUCGCAAGCUGGUGCAUAUGAACUUUUGGUACAUCAACAACCUUGUUACUGAAGAACUCGUCCGAAGCCUCCCAAUUCUGAAGUACUGCUAUGAAACACUCUACCCUGCUUGUGAGUGUGGAAAACAAUCUAAGAGAAGUCACCCAUUGGUAAUUGAUUCAUCAAUUUCAGAACCACUAGGGUUGUUGCAUAUUGAUCUAUGUGGUCCGUUAACCGUAGCUAGUCUCCAUCACAAAAAGUACAUACUGGUUAUAGUUGAUGACUUCACUCGUUUCACAUGGGUCUAUUUCUUGAGACUCAAGUCUGAAACACCGCAAAUUCUAAUAAACUUCAUAAAAGAAAUCGAACUCCAGAUCAAGUUACCAGUUUGCGGAAUCCGUAGUAACAACGGAAUCGAGUUCACUAAUCCUCUCUUGGAUAGUUUCCGGGUUUCCAAAGGCAUCAGUCACAACUUCUCUGCUCCAUACACACCGCAGCAAAACGGAGUAGUAGAUCGAAGGAACCGCACUCUGGUAGAAGUAGCCAGAUCUAUGUUAAAUUUUGCAAACCUUCCUCUAUACUUCUUGGUCGAAGCAGUGGCAACGACAUGCUUUGUCCAAAAUCGAAGCAUUGUCUGCAAGCGUCUCAACAAAACACCUUAUGAGGGCCUCAACAAUCGUAAACCGAAUGUCCGAUUAUUUCACAUAUUCAGGUGUAGAUGUUUUGUGAUCAACAACAAAGAUCACCUUAACAACUUUUCUUCGAAUUCAGAUGAAGGCAUAUUCCUAGGCUACUCAACAAACAAGGUGGGAUACAGAUUCUUAUCAGACGCACGCGGCUAAUAAUUGAAAGCUUCGAUGUCAAAUUCGAUGACUAUUAUGUCCGUAACAUUGAUACUUCAAGAGAAACAAAAGCAAUCCUGGAUGGUGAUAUCCCAGCCUCUUCGGGUCCUCUCAACUUAGUUGUGGUUAACAAUGAUGACCACUUUGACCCGGUAGAAACUGCUCAACUGUCUGAAAUCCUUUUGUCUCCGGAAGCUCAACAACAACACGCUGAAGUUUCUGGACCAUCCAUAUCUGAUGACUUGUCUCAUGGAACUUCCACCUUGCCAGUUGAGGGAGAAUGCAUUACUCCGGUUAUUACGACAACCAUCGAGGUUCCAGUGCUUAAAUACAAAGCUCCCGUUUAUUUAUUUAUUUAUUCGGUAGUGCAUGCAUAAGCUCAAAGUGGACCAUACGCUUCCAUGACUUGUACCACAUCAAAAAUCACUUGUGAUCUCUGAAUUUUUUAUACCCAAACACACCAAAUUAAAUUUCAUCUCGGAAAAUCUUAUCCAUACACACCAACAACCAAUUUCAUUUCGGAAAUAGCAUAAACACCAACAACCAGUUAUUGAGAGAAAAACUUGAGAAACACACUUGAACAAAUGUUAGAACAAGUUAUAUUGAAGAAUAAGUUUAACUCAAAGGAUCAUAAAGCUCAACAAUAAUAAUAAGUUAGAGUUAGGUUACGGUGAUAGCAUGCAUUUAGCACUUGAGAAAAACCAACAACCAAUUUCAUUUCGGAAAUAGCAUACACACCAACAACCAAUUGUUGAGACAAAAACUUGAGAAACACACUUGAACAAACUUCAGAACAAGUUAUAUUGCGGAAUGAGUUUAACUCAAAGGAUCAUAAAGCUCAACAAUAAUAAUAAGUUAGAGUUAGAGAGUUAGAUAAUUAGAUGCAGAAAUAUAAGGAAAUAUAAAUGACAACAAGUAUUAUAUCAAGUAAAACACUUACGUUGAUUCGUAACAAGGAUUGUGUCACAACUAGGAAUUCUAUACCGUGUAACAACAACAAUGCUAACAUUUGGGAACCAAAAAUGUGAAAGCAUGUAAUGAUGCUUAUUUAAUAACAACAAAUUUUCCAUCAAACACUCUAUACAAGCAUUUCAAAUAGUCAACAAAAGUUGGGAACCCAAAAAAUCCUAGUUAAAGUCCAUUUUGGACUAGGAUUUUCUUGUUGGGCAUAAUGGACCAAUAAGUUUCCAAUUUGACUAUUUUGGGCUUAGAACUCUUGAAUGGGCCCUAAUUGGACCCACUUUCAUUUAUUUUAACAUUUUGGGCCAUAAUGGGCCUAGAAUGAAAUAAAAUAUCCUAAUGGACCUUAUUGGGCCAUAACUAACCUAAUUAGCUUUAAUGGGCUAUGAAACCCAUUAUUUUUGACAAAUUGGGCCAUAAUCCAUCAUAGGAGCCCAAUGGGCCAAAAACCAUCAAAAAUGGGCCCAUAAGAUGGAAUUAAGCACCAAAGGCCCAAAAUUCUUUUUCUUUCUUCCCUUUUCUUGGCCCAAGAAGAAAACAAAAAAAAGAGAAAAUAAGUGAAAUAAGAGAAGAGUUGACUUUGGAGUGCCACCUCCAUAAGAUCUAACAUGCAUCAAGGCUUUAAACCACCAUACAACCAAGCAAGUCACAUCACCUUUCUCUUUCCCUCUCUUUUUUUCUUCCUCACGGCUGAAACCUCACAAACAUACACACACUUCCAAAUUCUCUCAAACACUCACAAGAACACUCUACACUUCCUCUCUAAUUUUCGAGAAUUUACACAUCUUCAAGUAGAGUUUCAUCAUCAAAAAUCAUCAAUUCUUGGUAUGUCUUACCACACUUAAGUUGUAUGACUUCAUUUUCAUGUUAGAUCACUCAUUCUAAGUAAGUUUUUCAUGAUCUACUCCUAGAAUCUUCUUAAAUUCAAGAUUUACUCAAGGGAGUUGCUAGGACCAAAAUGUUAUUUCAUUUCUUCUUCAAAACCGAACCCACAAACUCAAGGUGAGUUCAUACCCCUCUAUUUUCGGUUUUCAUAUGUUUUAUGGGGGAGAAUACAAGUAAAAUGUGUAGAUCUAUGUGUAUGUGUAUGUUAUGUGUGAUUUCAUGUGUUUGUGUGAUAAAUAUGUAACAAAAAGAAUGGAAAUCUUGAGAUCUAUGGAUCUAAGAGGAAGAUAAACAUGAUCUCGAACAUCUUACACUAAACAAGUUAAUAAAAUUACCCUCUAAUAUUAAAGUAUACAUAUUGCAACAUAAAACUCACUUUUGGGCUAAAAUUGUCAAACAAACGAAAGUUGUGUUGAAAAAUUGCUAUUCACAGUUUUCUCAAGGAUUAAAAGAGUAAAAAAAGUAAAAAAUAAGUGUUUUUAUGAAUAUCAUACUCUUUUAAAGGUUAGAAAUGAAAUUUAUGGCUUAACGGGCCAAAUUUUAGGCUUUUCGACCCAAUGAGCCAAAACUUGCGAAAUUUUCAACUCUCAAGGGGUUGAAAUUAUACUUCUCAAAACAAGGGGUAAAAGGGUGAAUAAAACUAAUUCAGGUGUUAAAAUGAUGUAUUUUCCAAAUAAGGAUCAAAAUUGUAAACUUUUUUGGAUUUUGGGUCAAAAUUGUAAAAGUUGCAAAACGUUUGGGCUUUAAUCGAAAAAUACUUUUCUAGAAGGGCUGAAACUGCCAAAGAAUAAGUUUUGAGCUAAAAAUAUCACUUGAACAAGUCUUUGGGUCAAAGGUGUCAAGAAAAUGGUUUAAGGGCUUAAAAUCUCUUUUUAUAUAUAAAAGGACUAAAAUUGUCAAUUUUACCAACUGGCCUUGUUCCGGUGCGAAAUUAACAAUUACCCAAUCAAACUAUCCAACAAUUAAACUAUACCUAAAACAAGUAAACAUUAAAUUCUUUGGGCUUGAAAGUUCCAAACUUGCUUGUUGGGCCUUUGUGACCCAUUAACAUGAUUUUUGGGCCCAAGGGAUAAUAAUAAAUAUUAUUGGGCCUUCUAUGCAUGCUAGUUAUUGGUUUAAUGCCUUGGAAACCAUUUGCAUGUAUAAUUAUUGAAAACAUAGAUCCAAGGUAUUUAGGAUUUUAUGUGCACCAUAGGAUGUUGUAUUAUACCAAAACCCAACAGUGGUAUCAGAGUCAUGGGUUGUUUUCUACUAUAUUUGAUGCAAAUGUAUUUUUUUCAAGUUGAUGGAAAAUAAAAAAGAAAAAAAAAACAUGAAGUUUGUCAAAUUUUAUGAUAAUUACUUGAUUUUAUGAAAAACUAAUUAUCUGUAAAAUUUGAGUCACUUUACUACAAGAGUUGAAUUAGGUCAAUUUAUUAAAAGAUAGAAUGAUAUGAUUAUUUUAUUUGUUUUAAAAGUUUGAUCAAAGUGGUUUUAAGGAGUUACAAAUUUUGUCAUAAAGUUUUGUAGCUCCAAUUUUUUUUUUUAAAGUUAUGAUCUUAAGUGUUUUGAAACUUCCAUAAGUUAUGGAUGUGAAAUGUCUCAUUUAUUAACUCUUUAGGUUAUGAAGUCCAAGCGUCUUCAAAGGAUAAUUGUCAAAGUUUCAAGAUUUGUAUUAGUUUAUAUGAUUAUAUAAUUUCUUGAAAAUUGUUGAUGUGAAUUAUCUUUACUUAUGAGUUUAAUCUAGAUCAUAGAAAAAUUAUUUGAUUAUUGUGUUAAUUGGAAUAUUUGAUCUUAAUGGUUUUUAUGAACUCCAUAACUUGUCCUCAAGUUAUGGAAAGUGAAGAGUUUUUCUUUUUAAAGUGUCAUUAAGUCUCAUAGGUUAUGAAAAUAGAAGAGUCUCUAUUUUUAAUGUCAUCAUUAAAUGAUUUAAUGUCUUCCAUAACUUGUCCUCAAGUUAUGGAACUUGAUUUUUUUUCAUUAAACCUUAAUUAAACUCACAAGUUAUGAAAAAGCCAAGAGUUUUGAAAGGUUUCAAAACUUGUCCUCAAGUUUUGGAAUUUGUAAAGUUACCCCCCAUGUAUACUUUAAUUCCAAACUAGACCUUAGAAUUUUAAAAGUUAAAAUUCAACCCUUAUACUUUAUAAUAUUAUAAGUUAAUAAUAUUUAUAUAUAUGUAUAAGAGUAAAGUCAGUCUUACCGUUAGUAGGCCUCAUUCACGAAGCCGGUCUAUAAGGGGGGUAUAAGGUUACUGCCUAUAAAAUGGCAGUUUAAUGGGUGUCCACUCUCACACACCGCUUCCUUGACCGGUGGAGGGUCGUUAGCCGAACGGGUAGGACAAGGACUAUAAUUCUCCCUUCAUUAAAAGUAUUAAUGAUAAAUACUAAGUAACUAAACCUUUUAUAAAUACCCAAUCUUAGUUACUUAGGAAAACAUGAAUAAUGUGCUAAUCCAUGAAAUUACACUUAGCACUUUGUUUAAGUCAGUUAGUGGGGCGUGUGUGGUUAACCGGCACACUAACUCGUAUUUAACAAGGUAGGCAAAGGGUAACUUAAUGUUUAUCAUAGUAUCGAUGGAGCGUGUGUGGUUAACCGAGACAUUGAUUGAGGGGUAAACACUUAAGGGUACCAAGUAAUUUGCAUGGUUACUUCACACCUUGUUUUGUGAUCCUCGGCAUCCCAGUCACAAAACCUGAAGGGCACACUCGAGAUUGAAACAUGCCAUUGAAAAGUUCAAUGAAUCUCAAAAGAUCUAGGAGUUUCAAAUCCAAUUAAAACCUAAUAAAUUAUUUCGUUUUUCAUGGUGGAAAUUGGUGAAUCGUCAUUCACCUACCUUCAAAUAUUCUAUAGCUUGGAUUACGGCAUCCCUCUUCCAAGUUAUAAAAUAGUUUGUUGGGUCCUAGCCUUAAUAUUUCAUAUUGGGUGUUAUAUUAAGGACUUUAAAUCAACUAUCUUGAAUAUCUCCCAAAAGAUGUCUAGUUCAGACAUCUAUGAUCUUCCCAAAUAUCUUGGAACUUCACUUCCUCCACCUCCUCCAAUUAUUCUCCCUAACCCACAAGUUCAAGGUCACUCAAGCCCUAUUGGCAAGGCAAGGUCUAGGUGUGAUCACAUCUUGGAGAUGAAGUCACAUACUGACAAGCCGGGAGAGUUGGGUGUCAAAGUCUUAAGAAAGUUAGUGGUUCAAUCACUUUCUAAGUCACAUAGUGAGUUCCUUGGGACUCCUAUGAAACACACUAUGACAAGACCCUUAAUGAUCUUAUCUUUUUGCUUUGUGCUGCUAAAUCAGAAACGAUUUAGUGUACUAGUAAAGCAAAUUUGAUUAGGAGAUCAACUUCCCAAAACUUUAUGGACAGGGACAAUAGCGACACAGGACAUCCAGAAAAGCAUUCUCUUCCCAAUGGAAAGGGAUCGACCAUAGUCAACUCUGUUGACCAAAUGGUAAAGAGAAAGGCUAAGUCUUAGAUAGUCCCAUGUACUAUUACCUAAGGGUCCAUAUAGUCCUAUUGCCAAAAGGAAAGGGCAUUGGUUGCGAAGCUAUCAAUUUUACCUGAAAGAUCAUAAGGCUAGUAAAGUCAAUAAGUUUGACACUAUUUCAGUUAAGGUCCACUAUCUAACUCGGUUAAGUUUCUAUUCUAAGAUUCUUAUUACAAGAUGUGACUGAGUCACAUGUUGAUGUUUAAGUGUAACAUACACGUUUUGAAAUCGUGUUUUAAGUAAAUAAUAUUAUGAAAUAUUAUGUGAAUUUGAAAUUUUAGUUCUAACAGAUAGUUUUUACUAGAAAUGAAGUAAAACUAUGUUUAGAAUCACUCAUAAAAUGUCGGAAGUCUUUUUAGAUUCCAACUAAAAGCCAAAUAUUGAAAUACAACGAAAAUAUAAAAAUUGGAAUAAGUAAAAUUUUAUUAUUGAAAGUUGUAGAUAAUCUCGUUAGAAACAUUUAGGCGAAAACCUCAUCGAAAUCCGAGUUAUAACGAAGAAGUUAUGACAAAUCGGAGAUCAGCGAUAAAACCAGCAUGGCGCCGAAUGACGUAAAAAACGAGUUUUUGAUAAACUACUUUUUGAAUUAGUAAUCUAAAUGAAAUUCGUAGUAUUCGUUAAACUGAGAAGUUCGCUAAAAAGAAUGCCAAAAUCUGACUUCGUAUGACGAAGUAUGAUUUUUCGAAGUUUCAGCUUAGCAGUAGACAACUAAAAACUUGAAUUUUAGAUCGAUUGAUUUUUAACCGACACAACCUAAAUGAGAAUUGAAGGUCUCAUCAUUUGUAAUACAACAGUAAAAUGUCUGACGAAAACGGAUGUCGGAUGAAGAAGUUAUGAAUUUUUAACGGAUUUUCCUGUCCCGGUCUGUUAAAAAUAAUAAUGUUAAAAUUAAAUUCAAAAUUAGCCGACAAAGUCUAAACAAAAGUCGUAGAGCAUAAUUUUAGCUACGCGUGCAUAUAAAGAACGUCAAAAACAGAGCUCGUAUGCAAAAGUUAUGGAUUUUACAAGAUUUGGCACAUUUUUCGAGAAAAUUUGCAUGGAUAGUACUGCCACGUCAGCCCUCGCAUACAACCUCCACAUGUCACCUUCUGAUAGGACCGAGGUUGUUGUGUCGCCUUCUGAUUGGACCAAGUCCGAGGUCUACUAAGCUUGGGACACCUUCGCAAGAGCCACCUCCGGAUCACCCUCGCACCAACGUGGAGCCUGCCCAUUGGACCGAAGUUGGGUCCAAUCUGAGGCUGCCGUCAGCGAGCCUGCUGUUCCGAGCCGAAGACCGAGCCGAAGACCCAGCUGAUGACUCCUCGCAUCUGAGCCUCGCCGAAGCUGCCAUCUGAUCCGAGCCUUGCAGCCACCUGCCCUCUUCCCUUCGCUUCGGAUCCGAACCUCGGCCCUAUAUAAGGGGUGCAAGACCUCCCGGGUAAAUGUUUGAAAAUUGCCCCUUUUUACCCCUAAACUUAUAUUUCUUCUACUUCCACUUCCCCCGAAGCCCCAGUACUGAUUCCAAAGCCUGAAAUACGCCCCGAGACUCCCAAGAAGCCCGAAAAAUUUAUCUUUUCGGUUUCGAAGCUCUACCUUCGCAGAGGCCGGUUUUCAACGACGAAAGUCAUAUUUAGAGCCAAAGUACUGCCCAAAUUAAUAUUUUAACCCGCGGUUAUUUCACAGUGAGUUUAAUAUAUAGAAAUAAUUGUAUGUUAUGUGUUAUAUGUGCUACGUGCUUUUCAGUGUUAUUAUUCCGGGUUAUUUUCCCGGGUUAUUUUUAAUUGCUAUUUUUAAUAGCAAAGAAAUACCUUUGACCAUGUGAUCAGUGAAAGGACUUAGAUUCACGUUGGUACUGGUAUGUAGCCUCUGGCCAUGUGGAACAUGUCUCCGUAAGAGAAUGAAUUCUAUUCUAUGGUAGUGGCAGAAGGUUAGACAGGGCUAUAAGCCUGAAAUCUACCGAAAUGUUAAUCCGAAGUUGUAUAUCUUCUGUGCCGUUUGGGCCAAAGCUUUAUUGAUGUAUAUCAAGCAUGGAAAUUGUUAUGUCUCAUUGAUUGUAUAUCUUUAAAUCAAAUCAAUGAUUGAUAUGGAAUGUUUGUCACAUGAUUCACAUAUGCCCUUGUUGUUCCUUGUUCCUCUUUGCUUCUGCCCUAUUAAAGUAUAUAUAUGGCAUAACGUUAUAUUGUAUCUAUUAUUGAACUCACUAAGCGUGUCCGCUUACCCUCUCGAUGUUUAACAAAUUGCAGGAGAUAAACAUCCAGUAUAGUUAUAUACUGGUAGAAGAUUUUUGAAUAGUUUGAAACUAUUGUAUCGAUGGAAGCUUAUGAAUAGUUUGAAACUAUUGUAUUUUGCACUCCCAUAUGUAUAAAACUAUAGAAUCCUGGGAAGUUAUGUAAUAUAUAACACUUUAAAAUAGUCGGUUUGUAUCCAGUAGUUUGUAAUCUCUUUAUCAAUGUAAAAUAUUGUUUUUAUGAAUAUGCAAGUAGCAUGUUUUGGAGUAACUAUAUUGUCGAGUAUGAAAGUUUGGGUCUUUCAUAAAUACGAAAGUUAGGGUCUUUCAAUCAUGGUAUCAGAGCAGUAGUUUGAGUGAACUAAAUUCCACGGAUUGGUAUUUAGACUUAAACUAUUGGAAGUUCAAUAUAUGAACUAAAUCAUUAUAAGUAUAGGGAUACAAACCAUAGGAAAUAUAUAAGUAAAAGUAUUAGGUAAUAAUAAACCCUAAUAUUCUAAAAUACAAUGUUACUCCGUAUUGCAGAGCAAUGGCUGAACAGGUUAGUAGCCAUACCCCUGAGGUUGGUGGAGGUCCUCAACCCGAGGAAGUGAAUACUCCAGUAUCUCCUCGUGAGGAGCGACUCUUGGGUAAACUUACCGGUGUUAUUCGACAGACUCUCGAAGAACACAAAAAGAAUGGUGAUAAGGGAAAAGAGAAAGCCACUGGAGAAUCUUCAAAAGGAGAGGUGAAGCGUCCCUCGUUCAAAGAUUUCAAGAGUAGUGGUGCUACAGAGUUUUCCGGUGUUCUCAAUCCCAUUAUUGUUCUUACUUGGAUCCAGAACACAGAGAAAGUGUUUCGUAUUUCUCAUGUGGAUAAUGAAGACAAGGCUAACUAUGCUUCCGCAAUGCUCAUCGGAGAAGCCUUGGUCUGGUGGGAAGCAACAUAUGAAGCUCUCAACGGGUUUGACCAGGAGAAUUUAGCCUGGGAAAUGUUUAAAACUCGUUUGCUAGAGAAGUAUUGUCCUCUAGACAUCAGGAGGAGAUUGGAGAAGGAAUUCCUCGAGCUUAAACAAGGAGGAAUGACUGUGAAUGAGUAUGUAACUCUGUUUAAUCAAAGAGCAAGGUUUGCUACAAAGUAUAUUCCAACUGAAGACGAGAAAAUUCAGUUAUUCAUGGAGGGACUACGACAUGAGAUCCACGAUUUCGUUGCCAAUCGAGAAGUUUUGUCAUUCGAUAAAGCCGUUGGAUAUGCUCGAAGAUGUGAUCAUGACUUAGAAAUACGUGGUGCCACUGUUACUGCUCCGAAGCAUCCACGUACUGAAAGAAUUGUUCCUGUUCCUUCUUUUCUACCAACUCAAUCCGUUCAGACUGAACCUAGUAAUCAAGUUCAAACUCAAAGUGUCUCUCGUGGACGCGGUAGAUCACAAUCUUUUUCUAUGCAAUUGCCUUCAUGUCGUAUUUGUGGAAGGAAUCGUUCGGGCCAAUGCAAAAUAGACAAGGAAUCCAUUGUCUCUUAUGGAUGCGGAGAAAAGGGUCAUAUAAAGCCAGCUUGCCCAAGAAAGGAUGUUACUUGCUAUGCAUGUGGUAUUACUGGCCAGAAAAAGCGUUUUUGCCCUACUCUUACUAGUCAGAUAACGGGAAGUCAAGCUUCUGUUCAACAACCAACGAGAAGCNUUCUGUUCAACAACCGGCGAGAAGCCAAGUCCCUGUUCAACAAUCAAAGGGUACUCCAACUAAAAAGGAGGAGGUGCCAAAAGCUAGGGGUCGUGCAUUCCAGAUUACCUCAGAGGAGGCACGCGAGGACCCGAAUGUUGUGACGGGUACAUUUUUAUCAACUCUAGACCUGCUCACAUCCUAUUUGAUUUUGGUGCCUAUGAUUCUUUUGUGUCUUACGAAUUUGCGCAUGCCUUUCAAAUUGCUUGCUUUGUACUCGCGCAACCAUUUCACGCAGAUACUGUGGGAAGUAUAUCAUUACUUGCUGACAAAAUCUAUAGGGAUUGUGUUAUAGAAAUUGAAGGCUAUACUUUUCUCGCUAACCUGAUCCCUAUCUCCUUGCCCAACUUUGAUAUUAUUCUCGGCAUGGAUUGGUUAUCAAAGAACCACGCUGAACUCUUGUGCUAUGAAAAGAUAGUACGCAUUCCUAUUGAAGGGGAGAAUCCUAUCUAUGUCUACGGUGAACAAAGACUCUUAAAAAUAAUCUCUUUCCUUAAAGCUCGUAAAUUCAUAUCAAAAGGGUGUUCUAUCUAUCUGGCCUACACAGUUGAUGUCUCAAAAGAGGAGAAGAAAAUUGUAAAUGAUGUUCUAUUUGUUAACGAAUAUCCUAACGUUUUCCCAGAUGAAUUGCCUAGCCUUACUCCGGAUAGGCAAGUAGAAUUCCGAAUUGACCUUGUGCCUGGUGCUGCUCCAAUUGCAAAGACUCCUUAUCGUCUUGCGCCAGCUGAGAUGAAAGAAAUGAUGAUCCAACUGCAAGAACUACUUGACAAGGGUUUCAUUCGACCGAGUACCUCUCCCUGGGGUGCUCCGGUACUAUUUGUCAAGAAGAAAGAUGGAUCGAUGCGGAUGUGCAUUGAUUAUCGUGAGCUGAAUAAGGUGACUAUCAAGAACAAGUACCCACUACCUCGCAUCGACGAUUUGUUCGAUCAACUUCAGGGUGUUAGCUAUUUCUCAAAAAUUGAUUUAAGAUCUGGCUAUCAUCAGUUGAAAGUUCACGAGCAGGAUGUACCGAAGACUGCUUUUCGUACUCGAUAUGGGCAUUAUGAAUUCCUUGUUAUGCCGUUUGGUUUAACAAACGCUCCGGCUGUAUUCAUGGAUAUGAUGAAUCGGGUAUGCCGCCCAAUGCUCGAUAAAUCAGUCAUCGUAUUCAUUGAUGAUAUUCUAAUCUAUUCCAAGUCUGAAGCUGAUCAUGCCAUUCAUAUUCGUGCGGUAUUGGAACUUCUUCGAAAGGAGAAACUAUAUGCUAAAUUCUCGAAAUGUGAAUUUUGGCUUCGCCAAGUUCAAUUUCUCGGCCAUGUUAUUUCUAGUGAUGGUGUAUCCGUAGAUCCUAUCAAAAUCGAAGCCAUUCAAAAUUGGGAAGUGCCCCGUAAUGCUUCCGAAAUUCGUAGUUUCUUAGGUCUCGCGGGAUAUUACCGGAGAUUCAUUAAAGACUUUUCUCGUAUAGCCGUACCUCUCACGAGUCUUACACGGAAAGAAGUGAAGUUCGAAUGGGGUGAAACCCAAGAAAGAGCUUUCUCAACUCUAAAAGAUCUUUUGACUCAUGCUCCAAUCUUAUCACUCCCAGAAGGUGAUGAUGACUUCUCCGUAUAUAGCGAUGCUUCAAGAUUGGGACUCGGUUGUGUGUUGAUGCAACGUGGUAAAGUGAUAGCCUAUGCCUCAAGACAACUGAAAGAUUAUGAAAAGAAUUAUCCCACUCAUGAUCUCGAACUCGCUGCAGUGGUAUUUGCCCUAAAACUUUGGAGGCAUUAUCUUUUUGGUACAAAGUGCCAAUUAUUUACCGACCACAAAAGUCUCAAGUACAUAUUCAGUCAGCAAACUUUGAAUAUGAGACAACAACGAGCUAUGGAGCUGAUCAAAGAUUAUGAUUGUGAAAUCCUAUAUCAUCCUGGAAAAGCUAACGUGGUCGCUGAUGCACUUAGCAGAAAAGUUUAUCGCAAUAGUAUGUGUUAUGCCAUUACUCAUACUACAGUAAAUUCACUAUUUUAUAUGAAUUAGAGAAAUGGCAAGAAGAGGCCCUAAAGCUAGAAAAUGUGAAGAAAGAAGGGAUGAUACAUUAUAAUGAUGUUUUACUUGAUGAUCCGCGAGGAAUAAAAGUAUUCAAGAAUCGGCUGUGGAUUCCAAAGAUUGGUGGAUUGAGACAGAAGAUUUUAGAUGAAGCCCAUAAAUCUAAACUGUCAAUCCAUCCUGGUACAAGUAAAAUGUACUAUGAUGUAAGAGCUGAUUAUUGGUGGCCUGGAUUAAAGAGAGACAUUGGAAGAUAUGUACAGGAAUGCUUAGUAUGCUUACAAGUCAAAGCAGAGCACCAAAAGCCUUAUGGAACCCCAGAAAGUCUUAGUGUUCCUGUAUGGAAAUGGGAGGAAUUGUCCAUGGAUUUCAUUACCAAAUUGCCAAAGACUGCUAGACAGCAUGAUAGCAUUUGGGUAAUUGUCGACCGCCUGACUAAAAGCGCUCAUUUUCUUGCCAUGCGUGAAACGGCUCCAAUGGAGAAAUACGCACAAGUAUACUUGGAUGAAAUUGUGGCAAGACAUGGUGUGCCACUAAAGAUCAUUUCCGAUCAUAAUACUCGCUUCACUUCUCACUUUUGGGCGAGUAUGCAACGUGAAUUAGGAUCUCGAGUUGCUCUCAACACAGCUUAUCACCCCUAGACAGAUGGUCAGACAGAGAGAACAAUCCAAACAAUAGAAGAUAUGCUCCGUGCAUGUGUCUUGGAGUUGGGUGGUAACUGGGAUAAAUAGUUAUCUCUUGUCUAAUUCUCGUACAAUAAUAGUUACCACGCUUUAAUUAAAAUGCCACCAUAUGAAGCAUUAUAUUGUCGCAAGUGUCGUACUCCAUUAUGUUGGCGAGACAUAGGAGAGAAGAUCCUUGGAGGCCCUGAAAUGAUUCAAGACACCACCGAAAAAAUUCAAAUUGUACGAGAAAGAAUGAAAGCGGCCCAGGAUCGACAUAAGUCCUACACAGAAAAGAGAAGACGACCCAUAGAAUUCCAAGUGGGUGAUUUCGUGAUGCUGAAGGUAUCUCCAUGGAAAGGCCUUAUGAGAUUUGGGAAGAAAGGAAAGUUAAGUCCUAGAUUUGUUGGUCCUUUCAAAAUCAUCCAGAGAAUUGGAAAGCAAGCAUACCGCUUAGAAUUACCUGAAGAUUUGGCAUGAUUUCAUGUGAGCUAUCUACGCAAAUGCUUGAGCAUCAAUGAUGAGACAGUUCCAUUAUCCGAGGUGAAAUUGGAUAAUAAGUUAAGAUAUGUAGAAGAGCCGGAAGAGGUUGUGAAUGAAAGAACAACUAAUCUAUGUAAUAAAGAAGUGGAGUUGGUGCUUGUCAAGUGAAAACACCAUCGAGGCCGAAAUUAUACUUGGGGAAAUAAGAAUGAGAUAAGAGCCAAAUAUCCCCAUUUAUUUUAAUCAAUGUAAUUUCGGGGACGAAAUCCUCAAAAGGAGGAGGUAUUUGUAACAUACACAUUUUGAAAUCGUGUUUUAAGUAAAUAAUAUUAUGAAAUAAUAUGUGAAUUUGAAAGUUGAGUUCUAACAGAUAGUUUUUACUAGAAAUGAAGUAAAACUAUGUUUAGAAUCACUCAUAAAAUGUUGGAAGUCUUAUGAGAUUCCAAUUAAAAGCCAAACAGUGAAAUAUAGCGAAAAUAUAAAAUUUGGAAUAAGUAAAAUUUUAUUAUUGAAAGUUUUAGAUAAUCUCGUUAGAAACAUUUAGGCGAAAACCUCAUCGAAAUCCGAGUUAUAACGAAGAAGUUAUGACCAAUCGGAGAUCCGCGAUAAAACCGGCACGACGCCGAAUGACGUAGAAAGUUAGUUUUUGAUAAACUACUUUUUAUCCUUAGUAAUCUAAAUGAAAGUCUUAGUAUUCGUUAAACCGAGAAGUUCGAUAAAAAGAACGCCAAAAUCUGACUUCGUAUGAGGAAGUUAUGAUAUUUCGAAGUUUCAGCUUAGCAUUAGAUAGCUAAAAACUCGAAUUUUAGAUCGAGUGAUUUUUAACCGACACAACCUAAACGAGAAUUGAAGGUCUCUUCAUUUGUAAUACAACGGUAAAAAGUCGGACGAAAACGGACGUCGGAUGAAGAAGUUAUGAAUUUUUAACGGAUUUUGUAUCUACUAUUGAAGUAGAUAUAUGGCAUAUCGUUAUAUUGUAUCUACUAUUGAACUCACUAAGCGUCACCGCUUACCCUCUCAAUAUUUAACAAAUUGCAGGAGAUAAGCAUCCAAUAUAGUUAUAUACUGGUAGAAGAUUUUUGAAUAGUUUGAAACUAUUGUAUCGAUAGAAGCUUAUGAAUAGUUUGAAACUAUUGUAUUUUGUACUCCCAUAUGUAUAAAACUAUAGAAUCCUGGGAAGUUAUGUAAUAUAUAACACUUUUAAAUAGUCGGUUUGUAUCUAGUAGUUUGUAAUCUCUUUAUCAAUGAAAAAUAUUGUUUUUAUGAAUAUGCAAGUAGCAUGUUUUGGAGUAACCAUAUUGUUGAGUAUGAAAGUUUAGGUCUUUCAUAAAUACAAAAGUUAGGGUCUUUCACAAUCCUAAUCCAAUGUUGGGAUUAUCACCACUUUUUCAUGAAAGGAUAAUUCAUGAUCUGGAUAUUGUUCCAUUCAUGUAUUAUGAUCUACCAACGCAAGAUGCGGACCAACUCGAUCUUCCAAUUUCUCCAUACAGAAGAUAUUACAUAAAGUUUUCUCCACUCCACCCAGAAGAUGGUCCUCAAAGGAUUGUCAGAACUGAGAAAGAAAGACUGCAAACAUUAUACUCCGUGAUCGCACAACCUCAAAAGGAAGAGUGGUCUCGGAAAGGAGUCACAAAAAUUAAUGGGUUCGGAAGAAAAGUCUUGAGCAAAUUUGACUUCAACUGCUUGCUGCACAUGUACUACAUCUUUUGGAACAAAUCAAAGGAGAUUAUCAUCACAGAUGUAGACCUCCCCUCAAUCAAUCCAAAUGAAAUUUUGACAAUUGUUGCUCACUUCUGAACUCGCUAGAAUGAUCAGAUGAGCAUUGCCACUUACAGUACUACAAUAAACUAUCUUAAGGACUAUGUUGCUAAGUUCAGUCGAUGUUACCUUGAGCUUGCACGCUUGUUCGGCACAGAGAACUUUUUGGCCAAAAUUGACUACAAGCUGCCUGAAGUAGAAAUUCUAGUAGAAGGGCUAAUUGAUGAACCAGUGUUGGGUUACGUCUACUUACAAAGGAAGACCAACCAAAAGGAUUUCUCCCAAGUCCUAGACAAUCAUCUCGUUUCCUCCAGGAUUCUUCAAAAGUUUAUCUCAAAUGUAGCCAAUUCUGAUGCUCUUGAGCAUGUAAAGAAAAAAUUCAUCAGUCAACUUCAAUGGUAUCUUGAAGUCCGGAACUGGCUAUACAGAGCUGAUGUGUUUAUCAAAGAAGAAGCCAUCUAAAUUGACAUGAUUGCUAAUUUCACUUAGUGGUAUUGUUGAAUCAUGAAAAGUGAACCUCUAGUAAUCACUNUAAGAUUGUAACUUGAGUGACAUGUCUUAAAGAAGGUUUAAAACACUUGUCAAAUGUAAGAGUAAAAGUUUUCUACUCGUGUACAUUUGAAAUUGGUAAGUUGUGAUGUUUUGGAUAAAACAAAGACCAACUAAGGCUAAUUGUGUUAAGUGUCUCUCUUGAUUAGAAUCCACACCAUCUCUUGAAUAUUUGGCAAGAAAGUUGUAUAGGUCAAGAAGACCGUGGGAGUCUAAAAGAUCCUGAAAAAGGUUUCAAGAACU